rnacentral:rRNA from 1 species
GGAACGUGCCUAGUAGUGGGGGAUAACUACUCGAAAGAGUAGCUAAUACCGCAUGAGAUCUACGGAUGAAAGCAGGGGACCUUCGGGCCUUGUGCUACUAGAGCGGCUGAUGGCAGAUUAGGUAGUUGGUGGGGUAAAGGCUUACCAAGCCUGCGAUCUGUAGCUGGUCUGAGAGGACGACCAGCCACACUGGGACUGAGACACGGCCCAGACUCCUACGGGAGGCAGCAGUGGGGAAUUUUGGACAAUGGGCGAAAGCCUGAUCCAGCAAUGCCGCGUGCAGGAUGAAGGCCCUCGGGUUGUAAACUGCUUUUGUACGGAACGAAAAGCCUGGGGCUAAUAUCCCCGGGUCAUGACGGUACCGUAAGAAUAAGCACCGGCUAACUACGUGCCAGCAGCCGCGGUAAUACGUAGGGUGCAAGCGUUAAUCGGAAUUACUGGGCGUAAAGCGUGCGCAGGCGGUUUUGUAAGACAGUGGUGAAAUCCCCGGGCUCAACCUGGGAACUGCCAUUGUGACUGCAAGGCUAGAGUGCGGCAGAGGGGGAUGGAAUUCCGCGUGUAGCAGUGAAAUGCGUAGAUAUGCGGAGGAACACCGAUGGCGAAGGCAAUCCCCUGGG